GACGUAGGGCGCGAGCGUUGUCCGGAUUUAUUGGGCGUAAAGAGCUCGUAGGCGGCUUGUCGCGUCGUCCGUGAAAACUUGGGGCUCAACCCCAAGCUUGCGGUCGAUACGGGCAGGCUGGAGUUCGGUAGGGGAGACUGGAAUUCCUGGUGUAGCGGUGAAAUGCGUAGAUAUCUGGAGGAACACCGGUGGCGAAGGCGGCAUCCUGGACCGACACUGACGCUGAGGCGCGAAAGCUAGGGUAGCAAACGGG
rnacentral:rRNA from 1 species